rnacentral:rRNA from 1 species
CACGUAGGGUGCGAGCGUUGUCCGGAAUUAUUGGGCGUAAAGAGCUUGUAGGUGGUUUGUCGCGUCUGCUGUGAAAAUCCGAGGCUCAACCUCGGACUUGCAGUGGGUACGGGCAGACUAGAGUGUGGUAGGGGGAGAUUGGAAUUCCUGGUGUAGCGGUGGAAUGCGCAGAUAUCAGGAGGAACACCAAUGGCGAAGGCGGUUCUCUGGGACGGUACUGACGCCGAGAAGCGAAAGCAUGGGGGAGCGAACAGG